GCCAAGCAUGGUGGCGGGUGCCUGUAAUCCCAGUGACUCGGAGGCUGAGGCAGGAGGAUCACAAGUUUGAGGCCAGUAGUGAGACCCUAAGCAACAUAUGGAAACCCUGUCUCAA
rnacentral:sRNA from 1 species